GGAAGUGCCCGCUGAAGAGCUAAAUCGGUCCGCUGGCUGGGUGACCCAAGGAUGAGAAGGAAGCUGCGAUUGGGGAGGAAAAACAAAACAAAACUCCACCAUGCCUCCUGCCAUCAUGGAUGGAUGCACUUGUAUACCUCUGGUACCUGAAGGCCAAAUAAACUCCCUCAAUGUCAUCACAGCAGGAGAAAGGCGCCUGCUGCUUGUGUCUUCACUGCCAUCAAGGACUGUAUCCUCAAACCCUGAGCCCAAAUAAACUCUUCUUAAAGUUGCUUCUGCCAGCUUGUUGUCACAGCAACAAGGCAAGUAACUAACAUGCCUCCAGUUCCUGCCUUCCUUUUCUAUGAUAGACUGCUGAUAUUCCUGGGACUACACCAUUUCUAUAACGUAACCAAUAAAUAAUGUUUUCA
ensembl:lncRNA